CCUGCGUCUGUUCUCUCCCAAAGAAGCUGGUCCUUAGCCUGUGUUAAGGAGCAAUCUUUCGGUGGCCAGAUGGAGCCGGGGCAUCCUUCUUCAAAUAAUGGCUUUUAAUUCGCAGACUAGAAUGUUUCGGAUUACAAAAGAAACCGGUUCUCUUCACAUCCUUAUCCUUGUGAUGCAGCAUUCCGCUUGCAUUUGGAAGCCGUUUAAUAUCAGAGAGAAGCCAUAUUUAUGAAAGUAAAGAGGCUGCUCAGAUGACUGCAAACCAGCCUUCCUUACUGGUUUUAUCACUGGUAAUGUUAUAAAGACAGUUGUCCAGUUUCAUGAAUCUUGUAGGUUUUUUUUUUUUGAUGUUGUUUUUUUUUCAAAAAUCCGUAUUGUAGAAAAAUAUGCUGUCCCAGAAGAGAUGAUUGGACACUCUCAAGCGUGGUGCUGGACUUUGUCAUCUCUUGCACAGCCAUCUCCACACCUUAGUGCUUACCUCAUGUUAGUUUUUUAUAUUCUGCAAAGACGAAACCAAAAUAAUCCAAAUUUGACACAAAUACCUGGGCUACAUCUUAUUUGAGAUGUUUAACAAAUGUCUGGAUCAUCUUUUCUUAUAUAUUACGCAGGAAACACUGUGAAGUAAGCAAAGUUGGAAUGCCCAAGUGAAAGACCAUUUGAAUAUUUACAAGUAGAUUUCAGACAGGAAUACUACAGGGUGGUCACAGGAUAACAAAUUCUAGGCAGCAGAUUUACAUGACUUGAGGCUGUGGGCUGUUAAGACGCUGAAAAACCAGGGUGUGGACCAAGCUGGCUAAGGCUGAGUGGACCCAACGUGGUGCUGGAUUGGAUGGAGGUUUUACCUAGGCCCUCAUUAUAUGCUCAUUAACAUACUAAAUCACACACCCGCCAGUGCCAUGACAGUUCUGAGACCAGUGUUUGAUGUAAAAAUGGCACCACAGUUCCAAGAAAUCUCCACCUUUACCCAGGAAUUUUCGUGAACAUUCCACUCCUUGGUUAAAGAAACCCAUCAAGAUGAAACCCCAGAACCCAUUAUUCUCUCUUGGGUAUGCCCAAGCUCCCCUUUCUUGAGAGUGUACUUUUUGCUUUGCAAUAAAUCUCUUCUUUCACUA
rnacentral:lncRNA from 10 species